ensembl:lncRNA
CAGGACUGGGUCAUAGUAGAUGGGUCAGAGUCAAGACUGGGUCAUAGUAGAUGGGUCAGAGUCAGGUCUGGGUCAUAGUAGAUGGGUCAGAGUCAGGACUGGGUCAUAGUAGAUGGGUCAGAGUCAGGACUGGGUCAUAGUAGAUGGGUCAUAGUCAGGUCUGGGUCAUAGUAGAUUUGUCAUAGUCGGGACUGGGUCAUAGUCAGGACUGGGUCAUAGUAGAUGGGUCAUAGUCAGGACUGCGUCAUAGUAGAUGGGUCAUAGUCAGGACUGGGUCAUAGUAGAUGGGUCAUAGUCAGGACUGGGUCAGAGUCAGGUCUGGG